rnacentral:lncRNA from 1 species
AUGUGUGGUAUUAGUGAGCUAACCCCAUUGCAACACUCAACGCAAUUUGGUGGUAAGGAACUUCUGAUCCGUUCUUACCGCUCUUACGUUCUCUUCUUGCUCUCUGAAAUAACCGAGAGAUUGGUAAAAUCAUCGCUGACGAACCCUGCUUGUUCUGACCUUGAGCAGAGGCCGAAUUUCCACAUCGCUCAUGCCGUCUACACUUGCUGCCCCGUGGGAGAGAUUGGCUGGGAAGGACCCCCGAAAGCAGGGGAUCUAAUUCUAUUUACACUAAGGCACUCAGUGCCGUUAAAUGCCAGGAAGUGGCAUGGACUUUCGCUCACUCCAGUCCUGCAAGCUUUUCAGAGGACUAUUGGGCAAUCAUCAGAGGUUAUAAAGUUUGAGCAGCAUUCCCUUUGGAUAGGUCGUUUUCCCUGCAGGACAGCUUGGAGGCAAAUUUUAUGAAGUAUCAAGUAGCUGACUGAAAGCAGUAUAAAUAACGAAGGAGCAUAUGACAAAACCCAGAGGAGUGGAACGUGCUUACCACAGGCGGAAUAUGUACGUGGAACGCGUUUAAGGUAUCAGCACCUGCGUGGAGAUGUGCGCCCAGUGACCAUCCAGGAAAGGCAUUGAACCACGGAAAUGGUUAUUCAGAGCCAAUCUUAGAAAAAUUAUUUUAUCCUUACUUUUGAAAGAUUGCUGAGCACACAAGGAAGGGACCUGCAGAUAGGUUGGAUGUGCUUAACGGUCAUCAAGCACUAGAGACUGAUCUUUAUAAAACAUCCUAGGUCCAGGUCAGAGCCAGGGAAGAGCUUGGAAGCAUGGUUUAUAGUGGGGAUGAGCUGUAAGUGGUUACCAUUUGGCAAAAGGAACCCCCAAGUUAGAAUUUUUGGAGGGAAACAUGGAGAGAAUUUUAAUUUGGUUUUGUUUUCUUUCAUUGUUCCCUAUGUUUGUUUUAGGAUGCACCACAGUGUAAACUGUGUUUUAAUGGGACUGAUCAGGCCACAGCUGAUUGAGUUACGAGAGGCCAUUGAGCUUUCCAAAGCCAGUUUCCUAAACCAGCGGCUUUGUUAGACCUGUCCUCACUGGCUAGAGCUGUUGACGUUCUGUAAGAUAAUCUUGUGUUCUUACAGUGGUGGGAGGAAGCUCUGGAAAGAAAGGGUGUAAGUUUGAUGUAGAAUGGAAUUUAUUGAACAUUUCCGCUCAGAGACAACAAAUUUCAAAGGCAUCCCUGAUCCUGUCUGCAACUGAGGCUUCCUGUCUCCCUUACGAGGGAAGUCUCCUGCUUCAUCAGGAUCUAAAUCACUGAACUAUUUUGAAGGGUGGCAGUAUUGUUAGUGUCAGACUUCUUUGAAAAAGACAACAGCCCCCAGAAUAUAUCAGUUCUUAUGUUUAUUAAAAAUCAUACUUCAUGGGGCACCUGGCCUGGCUCAGUCAGAAGAGCGUGUUGACCCUUGAUCUCAGCGUCAUGAGUUCAAGCCUCACAUUGGGUGUGAAGAGUACUAAAAUUAAAAAUUAAAAAAUCAGGGGCGCCUGGGUGGCUCAGUCGUUAAGCGUCUGCUUUCAGCUCAGGGCGUGAUCCUGGCGUUCUGAGAUCAAGCCCCGCAUCAGGCUCCCCCGCUGGGAGCCUGCUUCUUCCUCUCCCACUCCUCCUGCUUGUGUUCCCUCUCUUGCUGGCUGUCUCUCUCUCUGUCAAAUAAAUAAAUAAAAUCUUUAAAAAAAUUAAAAAUCAUACUUUGUGUCAAAACUGGG